rnacentral:rRNA from 1 species
GAUGAACGCUGGCGGCGUGCCUAACACAUGCAAGUCGAGCGAUUUACUCCGGUAAAGAGCGGCGGACGGGUGAGUAACGCGUGGGUAACCUGCCCUGUACACACGGAUAACAUACCGAAAGGUAUGCUAAUACGAGAUAAUAUGCUUUUAUCGCAUGGUAGAAGUAUCAAAGCUUUUGCGGUACAGGAUGGACCCGCGUCUGAUUAGCUAGUUGGUAAGGUAACGGCUUACCAAGGCGACGAUCAGUAGCCGACCUGAGAGGGUGAUCGGCCAUAUUGGAACGGAGACACGGUCCAAACGAAGAGGGGAGGCAGCAGGGGGGAAGAUUGCACAAUGGGCGAAAGCCUGAUGCAGCAACGCCGCGUGAGCGAUGAAGGCCUUCGGGUCGUAAAGCUCUGUCCUCAAGGAAGAUAAGGACGGUACUUGAGGAGGAAGCCCCGGCUAACUACGUGCCAGCAGCCGCCGUAA